rnacentral:tRNA from 1 species
AGGGAUAUAGCUCAGUGGCAGAGCACUUACCUGGCAUGCAUGAAGCCCUGAGUUCAAUCCCCAGUACUUUUA